GAAGCUUAAAGAACACACAUUAACAAGCUUGGAUUCCAACUACCAGAUUCCUUAUUAUUUACAACUGGGAGCACGUGAGCAUAGCCAAUUACCUGGCUCAGGAACACUGAAAAUUACAGAUGACUCGGUGAUGUUCCACGGCUUCCCAUACUGGGUGUCAUAAACAAGAUUGGUGAGCAGGUGUCAGACAAUGGAAUCAAUGAGCUUUACCAUGAAGCAUCUGUACGGGCAAGGUUUCCCCACGGUGACUGCAUGAGCUUAUGCAACUGCUGCACAUGAUAAAGGUCCAUUUCCCCUCCACCACUGCCUUUA